UGGGUCGGCUGGACGGUCGCGUGGCGGGGUCACACCCGCACCGAGGAACGUCCGGGCUCCACAGGGCAGGGCGGUGGGUAACACCCACCCGGAGCAAUCCGCGAGACAGUGCCACAGAGAGCAGACCGCCCCGGACUCCGCUCGUCGGAGCACCGGGGUAAGGGUGAAAGGGUGGUGUAAGAGACCACCGGGAUCGUGGUGACACGGUCCGCACGGUAAACCUCGCCCGGAGCAAGGCCAGACAGGGGAUGCCGACGCGGCUCGCCGAGUCCCCGGGUAGGCCGCUGGAGCGGCACGGCAACGUGUCGCCGAGAGAGAUGACCGUCCACGGAGCGCGAGCUCCCGGACAGAACCCGGCGUACAGGCCGGCCCAUUCG
rnacentral:RNase_P_RNA from 1 species